AGAGUUUGAUCCUGGCUCAGAAUGAACGCUGGCGGCGUGCUUAACACAUGCAAGUCGAACGGUAACAGCAGAGCUUGCUCUGGCUGACGAGUGGCGCACGGGUGAGUAACAGAUAGAUAAUGUGCCCCUUAGUCUGGGAUAGCCACUGGAAACGGUGAUUAAUACUAGAUACGCCUCAAUAUCUGAAAGAUAUUGAGGGAAAGGUUUUUCGCUAAGGGAUCAGUCUAUCUCCCAUCAGUUAGUUGGUGAGGUAAGAGCUCACCAAGACGAUGACGGGUAGCGGGUUUGAGAGGAUGAUCCGCCACACUGGAACUGAGACACGGUCCAGACUCCUACGGGAGGCAGCAGUGAGGAAUAUUGCACAAUGGGGGGAACCCUGAUGCAGCAACGCCGCGUGGAGGAUGACGCAUUUCGGUGUGUAAACUCCUUUUAUCAGAGAAGAAGAUGACGGUAUCUGAUGAAUAAGCUCCGGCUAACUCCGUGCCAGCAGCCGCGGUAAUACGGAGGGAGCAAGCGUUAUUCGGAAUCACUGGGCGUAAAGGACGCGUAGGCGGGUUUGUAAGUCAGGUGUGAAAUCCUACAGCUCAACUGUAGAACGGCACUUGAAACUACAGACCUAGAGUAUGGAAGGGGCAGAUGGAAUUAGUGGUGUAGGGGUAAAAUCCGUAGAUAUCACUAGGAAUACCGAAAGCGAAGGCGAUCUGCUGGGACAUUACUGACGCUGAGGCGUGAAAGC
rnacentral:rRNA from 1 species